CUACGGGACGCAGCAGUGGGGAAUAUUGCACAAUGGAGGAAACUCUGAUGCAGCAACGCCGCGUGGAGGAUGACACUUUUCGGAGCGUAAACUCCUUUUAUAUAGGAAGAAGAUGACGGUACUAUAUGAAUAAGCGCCGGCUAACUCCGUGCCAGCAGCCGCGGUAAUACGGAGGGCGCAAGCGUUACUCGGAAUCACUGGGCGUAAAGAGCGUGUAGGCGGAUUAAAAAGUCAGAAGUGAAAUCCUAUAGCUUAACUAUAGAACUGCUUCUGAAACUCUUAAUCUGGAAUAUGGGAGAGGUAGAUGGAAUUUCUGGUGUAGGGGUAAAAUCCGUAGAGAUCAGAAGGAAUACCGAUUGCGAAGGCGAUCUACUAGAACAUUAUUGACGCUGAGACGCGAAAGCGUGAGGAGCAAACAGGAUUAGAUACCCGGGUAGUC
rnacentral:rRNA from 1 species